rnacentral:lncRNA from 1 species
CGCUCUCUUUCAACCCUUCUUCUUCAUUUCAACCAACACCACACGUCGUCGUUUCAUUUCGUUUCGUUCUUCUCAACACAUAUCAUUUUCUCUCUGCGUUUGGGAGCUUAGCGUUGUCGUUUUUAAGAUCAGAGUUUUCUCGCCAUGAAUGGAAACAAAGCUAUGGAAGAUUCCAACGUUGUAGAGAAAAUGGUGUACAUGUGGGGAUACCUUCCCGGAGCUUCAACGGAGAAGGUUCCGAUACUCUCUCCGAAGCAAGUUCCGCUCUCUCUCGCUUCAGAUUCUUGGAAGGAUGUGUGCGGAGGUGGUUGUGGAUUCGCUAUGGCCAUUUCAGAGAAAGGGAAGCUCAUAACGUGGGGUUCUACGGAUGAUGAAGGCCAAAGCUAUUUGGCUUCGGGGAAGCAUAGGGGCCUGUUCAGCUUCCCACCGAGGCUUCAGUGGUAAAGGCUGCUGCUGGUUGGGCUCAUUGCGCCUCCGUUACCGAAGAAGGUGAAUUAUAUUCAUGGGGCUGGAAAGAAUGUGUGCCUUCUGGAAAAGUUAUUAUUGAUUUCACUACUGGGGGAAGCCUGCAAAAGGAUGUUGCUGGGAAACAAAGCUCACCAGGAGCUGAACAAGAAAGCCCACAAAGCUCAAACACUAGUAGCGGGUCGGAUUCUCAUCAUGAUAACAAGAAAGUUGGAGCGGAUGGGUUGAAGAGAAGGAAGAUCUCAUUUGCCAGACCAGAAUCUGACAGUCCAGCAUCUGGAGAUGAAUUCUUUACCAUGUCCCCUUCUCUUGCUACCCUCGGUCAUGGGGUGAAAAUUACCUCCGUAGCAGCUGGCGGGCGUCAUACCUUGGCUCUGUCAGGUUCUAUGAAGUACGAAGAUAUCGAAGGUUUUUGAUGUAAUGCAAGACACAUGAUGCAUCAUAAUUUUUACCAAAGUUUUCAGAUGUGGGACAGGUCUGGGGUUGGGGCUAUGGAGGCGAAGGACAGCUGGGCUUGGGUUCUCGUGUAAAGAUGGUAUCAUCUCCUCAACUCAUACCUUGUAUUGAGUCUGCUGCUGGGAAGGAUAGGUCAUCAACUUUUCAGCUAGGAAGCAGUGUGGGAGCUCAAGUUUCAAAGGUUCCUGGAAGUUAUGUUAAGGAAAUUGCUUGUGGAGGUCGGCAUAGUGCUGUGGUUACAGAUGCUGGGGCUCUUCUUACUUUUGGCUGGGGUCUCUAUGGCCAGUGUGGGCAAGGGAAUAAUGCUGAUCAGCUGAGACCAACUCUAGUUCCUUCUUUAUUGGGAACUGGAGUGGCAAAAAUUGCUGCGGGACUUUGGCACACGUUGUGUGUUACAGAAGAUGGUCAAAUCUAUGCAUUUGGUGGGAAUCAGUUUGGACAAUUGGGUACUGGUAGUGAUCAGACUGAGACUUCACCUAGACAGUUGGAGGCUUCCUGUUUUGAGAAUAAGCGUUCUAGUAUAGUUUCUUGUGGGGCGCGCCAUAGUGCUUUGCUAACAGAUGAUGGUCAUGUAUUUACUUGGGGGUGGAACAAAUACGGCCAGCUUGGCCUAGGAGAUUCUAUUGACAGAAACAUCCCUUGUGAAGUCCCUAUUGCUGGUUUUGGACCAAGAAAUGUUGCUUGUGGUUGGUGGCAUACACUGCUGAUAGUGGACAAAUCUGGUUAACAAAAUUUGUUUAUUAGCAUCAAUCAAAGUGGGUUGCACUGCACAUGCACAGUUUUGAUAGGUUACUACUGACUAGUCCACAUUUCAUUAGUGGAUGGAAUGUAGAUAUGUCCAAAAUGACCAAACAUGUUUCCUGGUUUGUUUUCUUCCCCUUUCCUAACUUUCCAUUUCUAGAUUGUAGCAUAGCUGACAAGUAUUUUGUGCUUUGCUUAUAGACAAUAAGGGAUGCAACAGUGUUUCUUUAUGGUUGUAAUUUACAGCACUUGUUGCACCCUUAAAAUGAACCUUUGCCUGAAAUGAUGUCACAAAUAUUCAAAGCUUUGAAAGUUUGGUAGACAUGACCUUUUGUUUGUGCAUGUAACUGACAAACCUAAUGGAAAUAAGACUCUGUUUUUUGAAUGAAUUUUAGUAAAUUU